UUUUUUUCUUUUCCUCCUUUUUUUGCAUUUAUGAGUACAGAGAAGUUAAAACUAGUCAUAUUCACAUGCUGGUAUGUGGUCAAGUGUCUGUGUUAGAAAACUUCUUUAUUAUUGUAGCUUUCUUCCCAUAACCUGGGAAGGCUUUAGGUUUAGGUGUUUACCUUUCUGUAGUAUUAUUUUUCUGGUUAGGAAUAUCAGCAAAGACUGAAAAGGCUCUGGUAAAUCCAGUAUCUUCCUGGGAAGAUAACAAAGGGAGAACUAAAUAUUUGGUUAUCUUUAAAUUAAGACUACAGGUUUCUACUCUUAUCCUAGUUAUUUUUUCUUCUAUAGAAGUAGAUUGAGAGGUUUUAGCUUUGGCUCGAACACCUCAGAAAUUAAAUUUGUCCUGCUUUGGAAUACUAUACAGACAAAUUAAAAUCUUUCAGACUUUGUCUGAUUGCCACUUGACUAAAUAAGAAAAUUAGUGAUGAAAAUAAUGAAAAGAAAUCAAGGAACAUAAGCAAUUUAGAAGUUUUAAAGUAUUUUUCCCCAAUGAAGAUGUAAGUGAUGUAACACUUUUUAACCAUAGAAAUGGGGGGAUUUUUUUUGCACUGUUAAGUUACCUAAAAUUCUUUUUUUAGCAUUUUUUAUUAUUUUUAAAAUUCACAUACACAGAUAACUCCUUAAUUUACAAGUUUCUUUUUAAAUUAUGGUAAAAGCCCAUAGCAAAAUGUACCAUCUUAACUCUGAGUUUACAGUUCAGUAGUGUUAAGUAUAUUCUUAUUGUGAACCAGUCUCCAGAAUUUAUCUUGCAAAACUGAAACUCUGUGCCCGCUGAACAGUGACUCCCUAUUUCCCUCAAUAGUUUAUUUUUACAAAAUAAAUACAGAAUAUUAAUUUACUGUUUUUCAAUGAGAAAUAGAACGUAUGAAGUACAGCAUUUAUAUUAGUUUACCCAGUACCUUCUCUCUCUGUAGGCAGGUUACAUGAAAAGCCAAAUUAUCAGAAAUCUACUUGAUUGCUUUGAAAUGAACCAAGUUGCAAAUUCCUUUCUUAUCAGCCCUUAAAGCAAAAGAAGCUCUGGGAACAUGGAUCAGCAUGCUUUUGGGGGUGGAUUUACAGUUUUUUGUGUUUUUUUUUUUUUUUUUUUUCCUUGCUUCCCCACCCCAUGAAAAUAAACCAGUUGCUGUUA